GUCUCUUUGUAUAUUUUUAAAUAAGGAGUCGGGCCUGCUCGGUGAGUGUGUUUAACAGCUGCGGUAUUUUAACUGUACUAAGGUAGCAUAAUAGUUUGCCUUAUAAUUUGAGGCUGGAAUGAAUGGUUUGACGAAGGUUAAUCUGUCUCUAUCUUAUUUGGUAGAAUUUAAUUUUUAAAGUGAUAAAGCUUAGAUUUUUUAAAGGGACGAGAAGACCCUAUUGAGCUUAUAAUUUUAAUUUGUUAUAUUAUAUAAUAUUGAAUAAAUUUUAAUUGGGGUGAUUAAGGAAUAAAUAUAUAAGGUAGUAACUUCCUUAAAAUAGAUCAAUACAGAUUUGUGAUUUAACCAAUUAUAUUGCUUAUAAUAUAGUUACCAUAGGGAUAACAGCGUAAUUUAUUUAGAGAGUUCUUAUUAAAAAAUAAGAUUGCGACCUCGAUGUUGGAUUAAAGUGACCUUAGGGUGUAGAAGCUUUAAUAGGUAAAUCUGUUCGAUUUUUAAAACUUUACA
rnacentral:rRNA from 1 species